rnacentral:rRNA from 1 species
GUGAGGUGGAGCAAAACUCAAAAACUUGUCUCAGUUCGGAUUGUAGGCUGAAACUCGCCUACAUGAAGCUGGAGUUGCUGUAAUCGCAGAUCAGAAUGCUGCGGUGAAUGCGUUCCCGGGUCUUGUACACACUGCCCGUCACACCAUGGGAGCCGGAAAUGCCCGAAGCCAGUGACCCAACCUUAGGGAGGGAGCUGUCGAAGGUGGAGCCGGUAACUGGGGUGAAGUCGUAACAAGGUAGC